AGGGAAGUGUUAUACAACCUAUUGUGGUUGUUCGAGGAAAUGAGAAGGUGCUUGAUGCUCAUCAAGGGGAGUGGGAAGUAGCGGCACGUUGCACACACUGUUUAAAGAACCAAAUAAUUAGCUUUGGUUAUUGACUUUUGAGGUUCAUAUUUUGAAAUAUGAUGUAGGCAUAAGCUGGUUCAUUCGUGGUUAAUCGUCUUUGAUGAGAAAUAUAUCAUAUUAGUAUGAUUCAUUUUGUAUUGAUAUAUACCUCUUUUGCUUCUGCGAUGCUUAUAAUUACAAAGGAGACGUUGCCAAA